AUGGAGGAAAUUCAAGGUAUUGCUAAUUCCAUCUUUAUGCAAUUGUAUACUUGUGAUGCCAUGGUUGACCCGUCUAUUAUUGUAGCGGUUGUGAGACCUCUUGUUAAUGAUGAUAUGAAUGAUGAUUUAUGCAAACCUUUCACUGAGCAAGAAAUUAGUGACGCCCUUUUCCAAAUUGGGCCUUUAAAAGCUCCGGGUCCGGAUGGCUCUCCAGCUAGAUUCUUCCAACGAAAUUGGGGAUUGAUUAAGAAUGAUAUUGUCCGAGCAGUGCAAAAAAAUUACUUUGGAAGGAUGCCAGAUAGGAUUAAUGACACAUCUACUGUCCCUAUUCCUAAAGUGAAGAAUCCCCAGUCAAUGAAAUAUUUUCGGCCAAUCAGUCUAUGCAAUGUUAUUUACAAGAUUAUUCCCAAAUGUCUUGUUAACAGACUGAGACCCCUAUUGGAUGGUAUGAUCUCCCCCUCUCAAAGUGCAUUAAUUCUAGGCAGGUUAAUUUCUGAUAAUGCUCUCAUUGCUUUUGAAUGUAUGCAUUAUUUGAGUACAAAAAGAUCAAAGGGGGAGUUUUGUGCUUACAAGCUUGAUCUUGCUAAGGCAUAUGAUUGGGUGGAUUGGCACUUUUUGAGGAGUAUGCUUGGUGCAUUGGGCUUUGCGCCUAUGUGGAUUAAUUGGAUUAUGACGUGUGUUACGAUUGUGAAGUUUGCUGUGUGGUUGAAUGGGCAGUUGUUGGAGAUUUUCUCCCCGUCUUGUGGACUAAGGCAAGGUGAUUCGUUGUCUCCGUACUUAUUCUUGUUUGUGGCGGAGGCACUUUCGUUGUUGCUCCAGAAUGCUUACGUGAAUGGUACCCUCAAGGAUUUCAGGUUGAACAAACAUGCUCCAGGUAUUUCUCAUUUAUUAUUUGACGAUGAUAGUCUAUUAUUUUUCAAAGGAUCCACUGAUCAAGCUAUGACCAUCAAGAAUAUUCUGAAUAUGUACGUGAGGGGGACUGGUCAGUUACUCAGUCCGAAUAAAUGUUCGAUUAUGUUUGGGAAGUCGUGCAGUAUGGAAAACCAAGUGUCCACAAUGGUCAUCUUAAAAAUUAUUGCGGAGGGAUUUGAGGAUAAAUAUCUUGGCCUUCCUGUUCCUCAAGGAAGAAUAAAAGCUGGUAGAUUCCAGUCUACUAAGGAAAAGGCAUUGAAAGGACUUUCUGACUGAAUUGAUAAAUAUGCUUCAAGCGGGGAGAAACAAGAUCUUAUCAAUUCAGUAAUUCAGGCCCUUCCGAUGUAUGCCAUGGAUAUUUUCAAAAUUCCUGCUUCUCCUUGUGAGGAUUUAUCAUAGAUUAUAAGGAAUUUUUGGUGGGGCGAUGAGGAGGAUAGGAGGAAAACGCAUUGGUUGGCUUGGGAUAAAUUAACAUGACCAAAGGGCGAGGGUGGAUGUUGGAAAUAUGCCCUAGAGGUAUUUAAUCAAGCACUUAUAGCAAAACAAGCUUGGCGUUUAUUGGUUAACUCGGACUCGUUAUGUGCUAAGGUAAUGAAGGCAAAAUAUUAUCCUCAGGGUCAUCUUCUUGACAUGAUUUUUCAGUCAACCUCAGUGACGUGGCAAGGUAUUGUGCAUGGUCAGGGACUCCUUAGAAAUGGUGUCAUUUGGAGGGUGGUUUAUGGAGGGAAUAUAAAUAUUUGGAGGGACAAUUGGCUUCCAAGGAUUUCUGGCCUCAAAAUUUCUGGCAAGAAGAACAGAUCAAGACUAAAAUGGGUUUCAGAUUUAUACAGGAACGAGUCCAGGGAUUGA
rnacentral:rRNA from 1 species